UGAGGAAUGAGUUUAAGCUCAAAAAUCCUGCAAAUAUACAUACACAAAAUUAAAAAAUCAAAAAAAGGAAGAGGAUUAAGACUUGAAAAUUAUAUUUUCUUUCUUUCCUUCUUUUUUUUUUUUGUUUUUUUUUUUAUAUAUUUUGUGUAAUUAAUAAAAUACAGGAAGGAAGGUCUGAGAUGCUGCAAAAAAAGAAUUAAUUAUAUUUCUUAAAAAUAAAGUAAGAUUAUUAAAAAUAGUCUUAUAUUUAUUUUUUUAUACUUAUUUCUUUAUUAAUAUUUUUGAGAAAAAUAAUAUUGAACAAAUAUUAAUUAGCUACCAGAAAUAUCAAUCAUAUGUUUAUAGUAGUUUUUUUAAUUAUAAAAAAAUUAUAUAUAUAUAUAUGAUUUUGAAAAAGCUAAUAAGCAAGUAUACAUUGGUGAGUUCGAUUUUUGAGGUUUUUCAACUGCUUCGAUUUUUUUUUGAAGUAGUAGAAAAAUAACUUAAUUCAGACUACUCCUAAAUUCAUUCCAAAAU
rfam:Plasmodium berghei strain K173 genome assembly, chromosome: 3